rnacentral:rRNA from 1 species
GGACCGGGAUAACCCUGGGAAACUGGGGAUAAUACUGGAUAGGCAAUUUUUCCUGUAAUGGUUUUUUGUUUAAAUGUUUUUUCGCCUAAGGAUGGGUCUGCGGCCGAUUAGGUAGUUGGUUAGGUAAUGGCUUACCAAGCCGUUGAUCGGUACGGGUUGUGAGAGCAAGAGCCCGGAGAUGGAACCUGAGACAAGGUUCCAGGCCCUACGGGGCGCAGCAGGCGCGAAACCUCCGCAAUGUGAGAAAUCGCGACGGGGGGAUCCCAAGUGCCAUUCUUAACGGGAUGGCUUUUCAUUAGUGUAAAGAGCUUUUGGAAUAAGGGCUGGGCAAGACCGGUGCCAGCCGCCGCGGUAACACCGGCAGCUCUAGUGGUAGCAGUUUUUAUUGGGCCUAAAGCGUCCGUAGCCGGUUUAAUAAGUCUCUGGUGAAAUCCUGUAGCUUAACUGUGGGAAUUGCUGGAGAUACUAUUAGACUUGAGAUCGGGAGAGGUUAGAGGUACUCCCAGGGUAGAGGUGAAAUUCUGUAAUCCUGGGAGGACCGCCUGUUGCGAAGGCGUCUAACUGGAACGAUUCUGACGGUGAGGGACGAAAGUUAGGGGCGCGAACCGGAUUAGAUACCCGGGUAGUCCUAACUGUAAACGAUGCGGACUUGGUGUUGGGGUGGCUUUGAGCUGCUCCAGUGCCGAAGGGAAGCUGUUAAGUCCGCCGCCUGGGAAGUACGGUCGCAAGACUGAAACUUAA